rnacentral:tRNA from 1 species
GCCAGUGUAGCUCAGCAGGUAGAGCACCCGCCUUGUGAGCGGACGCGCGUCGGUUCGAUCCCGGCCGCUGGCU